rnacentral:lncRNA from 1 species
AUCGAGCACCUAGCUAAAGAAGAUAAAAGAAAAAUUGCAACAAAAAGUCCUAAAAACUCUAAUAGAUUUUUAAAUAAAUUAUAAUUAAAGAUUAGCAAAUAUAAUCAAACAUCAAUUUAAUUCAAUUUAAAUUUCAGAUGAAUUAUAUAAAAAAUAUAAAGUAUUUCUAGAGAUCCUUUGAAGAAAUUAUAAAGAAAUAAUAUAGAAAUUCUAAUAAAAUAUUAAAAUAUAAAUCUUAAUUAAAUCCUUGUCAAAAUUUAGUCAAAUCUAGUAAAAUCUUGUUCAAAUCUUAGUCAAACCUUGAUCAAAUCCUUGUCAAAUCCUAGUCAAAUCCUAAAUAAGUAGUAACCAAAUCCUAAAAAAAUUCAAGUCAAAUCCUAGUCAAAUCCUAAUUGAAUCCUAAUCGAAUCCUAAACAAAUUCUAAAAGAAUCCUAAAUAAAUCCUAAAUAAAUCCUAGUCAAAUCUUAAAUAAAUCCUAAAUAAGUGUUAAUGUAAACCAAACCUUAAUUCUAACCAAACCUUAAAUCAUAUCCAAAAUCCUAAUUCUAAUCCUAAUCAAAUCUUAAAUAAAUCCAAAAUCCUAAUCCUAUCCCUAAACCAAAUCCUAAACCAAACCCUAAUCAAUCCAAAGUAAUUUCUAUAGCAGAUUUAAACCUCAAUAGCUAAUGAAUGAACCAUUGGUUUUAACUCAAAUUU